rnacentral:rRNA from 1 species
GACGAACGCUGGCGGUGUGCUUAACACAUGCAAGUCGAACGGUAAGGCCCUUUCGGGGGUACACGAGUGGCGAACGGGUGAGUAACACGUGAGUAACCUGCCCUCAUCUCUGGGAUAACAGUCGGAAACGGUUGCUAAUACUGGAUAUGAGCUUGCAAGGCAUCUUGUGGGUUGGAAAGAUUUUUUUUGGUUGGGGAUGGACUCGCGGCCCAUCAGCUUGUUGGUGAGGUAGUGGCUCACCAAGGCUUCGGCGGGUAGCCGGCCUGAGAGGGCGACCGGCCACAUUGGGACUGAGAUACGGCCCAAACUCCUACGGGAGGCAGCAGUGGGGAAUAUUGCACAAUGGACGGAAGUCUGAUGCAGCAACGCCGCGUGCGGGAUGACGGCCUUCGGGUUGUAAACCGCUUUCAAUUGUGACGAAGCUUUUUUGUGACGGUAGCAGUAGAAGAAGCACCGGCUAACUACGUG